UGGGGAAUUUUGGACAAUGGGCGAAAGCCUGAUCCAGCAAUGCCGCGUGUGUGAAGAAGGCCUUCGGGUUGUAAAGCACUUUUGUCCGGAAAGAAAUCCUUGGCUCUAAUACAGUCGGGGGAUGACGGUACCGGAAGAAUAAGCACCGGCUAACUACGUGCCAGCAGCCGCGGUAAUACGUAGGGUGCAAGCGUUAAUCGGAAUUACUGGGCGUAAAGCGUGCGCAGGCGGUUUGCUAAGACCGAUGUGAAAUCCCCGGGCUCAACCUGGGAACUGCAUUGGUGACUGGCAGGCUAGAGUAUGGCAGAGGGGGGUAGAAUUCCACGUGUAGCAGUGAAAUGCGUAGAGAUGUGGAGGAAUACCGAUGGCGAAGGCAGCCCCCUGGGCCAAUACUGACGCUCAUGCACGAAAGCGUGGGGAGCAAACAGGAUUAGAUACCCUGGUAGUCCACGCCCUAAAACGAUGUCAACUAGUUGUUGGGGAAUUCAUUUCCUUAGUAACGUAGCUAACGCGUGAAGUUGACCGCCUGGGGAGUACGGUCGCAA
rnacentral:rRNA from 1 species